GGAAACUUGGAAACUACUGUUGGAUUGAAAAAUAGACGUCCGAGAUUCAUCCACGUCAUCAUGAGUAAAAGUUUUACUCACGGAUGAUGACGUGGACAAAUUUCGGACGUCCAUUAUUCGAUUCAACGGUAGUUUCUAAGUUUCC
rnacentral:pre_miRNA from 1 species